UGUACGAUGAUGAAGAUUGACGUG
rnacentral:siRNA from 1 species